UGGGAACUGAAUGUGAACACUUAAUUUAGUCUGUGAUUCUUUUUUUAAACUUUAAAGAACUUCAAGGAUGGAGUUGUGAUUAAGAAACACUCAUAGAGCUAAACUAUAAUUAGCUAGAACUACCCCUUAACCCUAAUCCUAAACUAAGGGGGCUAUACCCACUAAUCAUUAUCCUGAACACAAUCAUUAGCCUAACGCAACCAUCAGCCUAAAGCGCACCCAACAUCUACCACAUCCUAAACACUUUACAUUAAACAACCUUAUCCUAAAAACAACAAAACAGCAGCAACCUUAUCCUACAAAGGUUAUUAUCGAAAAACAUUAUCCUUAUUUCUUCUCUGUACCAUUUCAGUAUUGUUGAAUAUAUCAUAACUGAAUCAAACUUAAAGUUCAGAGACUUACUAGUAGCUGAAGCCUUGAAACAAGGUGUUGGUUGAAACCCCAUGGUCGGAAUCAACCUGCGAGGGACCCAAUAUCUUCUCUGAAACCCCAAGACCGCACCUCGGCGAGGUGGCUUGGUCGACAUGACCUUUUCCUUGCUUGAGCAGCGGCUCUGUUGUUUUGGUCAGCUUGAGUUAUGAGGCACCGCUAUCUCCAGUGUUGGUCAGGUUGCAGGUAGAAAACGCAGCCCUCACGGGCUGGAGGAAGAAGACCCUUGAGGGUCAUUGGGGAAGAAAACCCCAUUACCUUUUGUCUCUGCAUGUUUUCUUAUUCUCUCCCCUUCUUACUUGUUUUUGUUUCUUUAUUUGUUUAUUUUAUUUUAUAGUUAUUCCAUUUUUACAAUUUAUUUGUUUAUUUAUGUUUUGUAUAUAAUAUG
rnacentral:lncRNA from 1 species